UACGGAAGGCAGCAGUGGGGAAUAUUGCACAAUGGGCGCAAGCCUGAUGCAGCCAUGCCGCGUGUAUGAAAAAGGCCUUCGGGUUGUAAAGUACUUUCAGUCGUGAGGAAGGUGUUAAGGUUAAUAACCUUAGCAAUUGACGUUAGCGACAGAAGAAGCACCGGCUAACUCCGUGCCAGCAGCCGCGGUAAUACGGAGGGUGCGAGCGUUAAUCGGAAUUACUGGGCGUAAAGGGCACGCAGGCGGUUAAUUAAGUUGGAUGUGAAAUCCCCGGGCUUAACCUGGGAAUGGCAUUCAAGACUGGUUAGCUAGAGUCUUGUAGAGGGGGUAGAAUUCCAUGUGUAGCGGUGAAAUGCGUAGAGAUGUGGAGGAUACCGGUGGCGAAGGCGGCCCCUGGACAAAGACUGACGCUCAUGUGCGAAAGCGUGGGGAGCAAACGAGGAUUAGAU
rnacentral:rRNA from 1 species